rnacentral:rRNA from 1 species
AACGUGAAAUCGCUGGAGUGGAACCGGAGAGAGUUGACGUAGUCGGGUAACUAAGUUUCGCAAAAUCGCUUAAUUGUGAUCGAGGGAGAUGUAUGUUGCCUAUGACUGCGCUGACAGCACUGGCUAUACGUUCCGAACUGUUGGCGUUGCCCAUCACCAUUGGUGAUGGUGUCUUGUCAUCGGGUAGGUUUGUUGUGGCUAGUGUUUUAUCCUGUUUGUGCAGGGUGUCAGUGUGAAAGUCGACCACCUCUCCGACCCGUCUUGAAACACGGACCGAGGAGUGUAACUUGUACGCGAGUCAAAAGGUGGAAAACCUCAUGGCGAAAUGAAAGUAAAGGUCGGUUAACCGACUGACAUGGGAUCCGUUUUUUGAAGCGGCGCACCAUGGCCCUGUCUCGUCUGCUUGCAGAUGGGCAGCGGUAGAGCGUACAGGUUGCGACCCGAAAGAUGGUGAACUAUGCCUGAGCAGGACGAAGUCAGAGGAAACUCUGGUGGAAGUCCGUAUCGGUUCUGACGUGCAAAUCGAUCGAUAGACUUGGGUAUAGGGGCGAAAGACUAAUCGAACC